rnacentral:rRNA from 1 species
AUACGGAGGGGGCAAGCGUUGUUCGGAAUUACUGGGCGUAAAGCGCGCGUAGGCGGUUUGCCAAGUCAGGCGUGAAAGCCCCGGGCUCAACCCGGGAACUGCGUUUGAAACUGGCAGGCUUGAGGCCGGGAGAGGGUAGUGGAAUUCCCAGUGUAGAGGUGAAAUUCGUAGAUAUUGGGAAGAACGCCAGUGGCGAAGGCGGCUACCUGGACCGGUUCUGACGCUGAGGUGCGAAAGCGUGGGGAGCAAACAGGAGUAGAAACCCGGGUAGUCC